rnacentral:tRNA from 1 species
GCCCUCGUGGCUCAACUGGAUAGAGCACUGGGUUUCGGCCCCAGCGGUUACAGGUUCGAAUCCUGUCGAGGGUACAA